rnacentral:rRNA from 1 species
GACGGAGGACGCAAGCGUUGUUCGGAAUCACUGGGCAUAAAGAGCACGUAGGCGGUCCGCUAAGUCGAAUGUGAAAGCCCCCGGCUCAACCGGGGAACAGCAUCCGAUACUGGCGGGCUGGAGGAAGGCAGGGGUGAGUGGAACUCCAGGUGGAACGGUGAAAUGUGUAGAUAUCUGGAGGAACACAGGUGGCGAAAGCGGCUCACUGGGCCUUUCCUGACGCUGAGGUGCGAAAGCUAGGGUAGCAAACGGG